rnacentral:rRNA from 2 species
UCAGCCUGCCCAGUGACAAAGUUUAACGGCCGCGGUACCCUAACCGUGCGAAGGUAGCAUAAUCACUUGUUCUUUAAAUGAGGACUCGUAUCAACGGCACUACGAGGGCUAUACUGUCUCCUUUUUCCAAUCAGUGAAACUGAUCUCCCCGUGAAGAAGCGGGGAUGAAAAUAUAAGACGAGAAGACCCCAUGGAGCUUUAAACUCACCAUGCACCUCUAUGCCCUUAUAUCACUAAACAUAAGACACCUGCGUGAUAGUUUUAGGUUGGGGGGACCACGGAGUAUAAUAUAACCUCCACAACAAAUGGGCUAACACCCUUAUCCACGAGACACAACUCUAAGAAUUAUUAAACUAAUGCUUAUGACCCGAUAAUCGAUCAAUGAACCAAGUUACCCUGGGGAUAACAGCGCAAUCUACUUCAAGAGCCCAUAUCGACAAGUAGGUUUACGACCUCGAUGUUGGAUCAGGGUAUCCCGGUGGUGCAGCCGCUACUAAUGGUUCGUUUGUUCAACGAUUAAAACCCUACGUGA